CUGAGAAACUAAAAACCAAAGAAGGAGUGAAGAAGAAAGGGAAAAAACCAGCAGAAUAUGAUGUUUAUAGGGACCCUUCGUAUCAUGAGUAUGUAGUGGCCAGGGUAGAUGGACCGAUCACAGCGAUAACACUCUAAUGGUAACUAAUCCAAUCAACAUCAAUAUCCGUCGCCAUCAUACAAUCAAGAGGUGGGGAUGAAACAUACUGCCUAUACCCGAACUGACGUAAACAUCUAUCAGGCAAGUAUGGAACAACUGUUUCACCCCACUUCAAACAGCCCCUGUAGAGACAUAUCUCAUCAAAUAGACGCCAUACUCUAUGAUCCUCAAAUGGACGCCAUAUGACGUCGGCAUGUGUCAGCUCGUCCAAAAUAGGUCGUAAAUCAUCAACCUUCAGGACUCCUUGCCUAUACGACCAUCUCAUC
rnacentral:lncRNA from 1 species